UGUUAAAAUUUUCAUCUAUUUUUAGUGUUAAAAAAUGGUAUAACUGAUAACAUAACCAAACAAUAACAUGUGAUAUGCUAUAUAUACCUCGUGCUAAUGUACAUAGACAAGUUUUUAAUUAUAGAGAUGAAUGAUGUUUUCAAUA
rnacentral:pre_miRNA from 1 species